rnacentral:piRNA from 1 species
UGAGUCCGCUUAUACAAUGCUGCCCAUGU